rnacentral:lncRNA from 10 species
CUGUGUCUAGCUAGAGGUUUGUAAACACACCAAUCAGCACUCUGUCAAAACGCACCAAUCAGCUCUCUGUAAAAUGGACCAGUCAGCUCUCCGUAACAUGGACAAUCAGCAGGAUGUGGGUGGGGCCAGAUAAGGGAAGCAGGCCUCCGAAGCCAGCAGUGGCAACCCACUUGGGUCCCUUUCAAUGCUGUGGAAGCGUUGUUCUUUCACUCUUCUCAAUAAAUCUUGCUGCUGCUCACUCUUUGGGUCUGCCCCGCUGUUAUGAGCUGUAACACUCACAGCCAGUGUCUGCAGUUUCACUCCUGAAGCCAGCAAGACCACAAACCCACAGGGCGGGACAAACAACUCCGGACAGGAGGAAUGAACAACUCUGGACGCGCCACUUCUAUGAACUUUUAUGAACUGUAACACUCACCGCAAAGGUCUGCAGCUUCACCCCUGAGGCCAGGGAGACCACGAACCCACCGGAAGGAAUGAACAACUCCAGACGCACUGCCUUUAAGAGCUGUAACACUUACCACGGAUGUCUGCAGCUUCACUCCUGAAGUCAGCGAGACCACAAACCCAACAGAAGGAAGAAACUCCCGACACAUCUGAACAUCUGAAGGAACAAACUCUGGACACACCAUCUUUAAGAACUGUAACACUCACCGUGAGGGUCAACCGCUUCAUUCUUGAAGUCAGCCAGACCAAGAACCCACCAAUUCCGUCUAUCUGAAUCAUGUUAUUGGACCAUGAGAGCAAGCAGCUGGAUCUCAUUCUGUCCAGGGUUUCAUCAUUUUUGGCCAUGCUGGCCUUGAACGCCUAACCUCAAAUGAUCCACCUGCCUUGGCCUCCUGAAGUUCUGGGAGUUAUAGGCAUGAGUCACCAUGCCUGGCACCACAUAAAAUUAUUUUGUCAUUAACAUUACAUUUUAAAAUACAAACGCUGUUUUCCAUAUUACUCAGGUCAGAUCUUUUACCCCACUUCUCUCAGUGAGAUUGCAUUAUUUAUUUCCAUCUCUAUAAUCUACUGUUCAUCCAUCUAUCUAUCCAUCCCUCAAUUUAGUUUUUUCACUACAUUCUGCAUUUGAUUCUUUUGAGGGUGUAUGCUUGUGUUUGUGCGUGGAAGUGGGGGUGUGUGUGUGUGUGUGUGUUCAAAAAGGUCUACAGUUUCCUUUUUCUGUAAUAUCUGUGUCUGCUGUUGGUAUUAGGGUAAUGCUGAACUCAUAGAGUAUGUGAAAAGUUUUCUACAUUCUUUGAUUUUUCUGAAAGAAAUUGUGCAGAAUUCAUAUUAUUUCUUUCUUAAAUGCUCAAGUGUUUAUUAAAAUUUACCAGUAAAAUAUUAUGACCCUAGGGUUUUCUUUUUUGGAAGGUGUUUAACUAAAAUUUCAAUGUAUUUGAUAAAUGUAGGACUAUUAAAAUUAUCUAUUUUUCCUUGAGUUGGUUUGGUAGUUUCUGUCUGUCAAGGAAUUGGUCUGUUUUAUCUAAGUUGCCAAAUGUAUUGGCAUAAUUACCUUAUUGAUAUUUGUCAGCUUCUUUCACUCCUUAUAUUGACAUUUUAUUCUCUACUCUUUUCUUUAUCAGCAUGACAAAAGGUUUACCAAAUACAUUGAUAUUUUCAGAUAAUUGCCUUUUUUCAUUUCAUUUAUUGUUGCUAUUUCUACUUUUAUUUCUACUCUUAUACUUAGUAUUUCCUCAUUCAAUUUGUUUUGUAUUUAAUUUGCCACUUCUUAUGGAGGACAUUUAGAUUGCUAGAUUUUAGUUAGGUCAUGCUUUUGUUCUCAGCAGGCCUUAUGAUAGAAAUUUUUCUCUUUUCUGCUUUAGUCACAUCCAUACAUUUUUAUAUAUUGUAUUUUCACUUACAUUCAUUUGAACAUAUUUUAAAUAUAUCUGAGACUUAUUUUUUAACACGUGAGUUAUGUAAAUGUAUAUUAUUUUUCAUAUCUGGAGAUUUUUCAGGUAUCUUUUUUAUUCUAGUAUAACUGUUUUCUGGCUUACAAGCAUACUUUGCAUGAUUUUUAAUCUUUGAAAUUUGUUAAGAGUUAUUUUAUGGUAUAAAAUAUGAUCUACCAUGAUUAGUCUUUCUUGUGGAUUUGCAAAUAAUAUGUAUCUGCUAUUGAGUGGCCUUUUCUAUAAAUAUCAAUUUGACCAAGUUGUAUGAUAGAGCUGAUGGUUCAGAUCAUCUAUAACCAUCUAUAAUACCACUGACAUGCUACCUACUUACUCUACCAGUUACUGAGAGAAGAGUGUUGAAGUCUCCAACUAUAGUUUUAGAUAUCUCUAUUUCUUUUACUUUUUUUUUCCAAUGUGCCAAUAUUUUUUCUUGUGUAUUUUGAAAUUCAUAUUAGGUGGAUACACACUUGAGAUUAUUACACUUUCUGUAGCAUUGGCGCUUUGUCAUUAUUUAAUUUCCCACUUAGCUAUGUUCCGCAUGGUUAGUGUCUGCAUGUUAUACAAUCCAUCACUUUACUUUUAAUCUAUCUAUGUCAGUAUCUAAAAUGGGAUGCUUGCAGUCACCAUUAUGUUGGGUCUUGCUUUGUUUCUUUAAUCAAAUCUGAUAAUCUAUGUUUACUUUCAACUAGUAAGUUUAGACCAUUUCCAUUUAAAGUGAUUAUCCACCUGUUUAUAUUAAAAUCUACCAUCUUCCCUGCUGUCUUACACUUGUUUUAUGUUUUCUCUUUCUCUUCUUUUUCUGAAUUGAAUUAUGUCUUUUUAUGAUUCCUUUUCUCUUUUUUAAAAAUUUUUUUUAUUUUUUUUUUGAGAUGGAGUCUCACUCUGUCACCCAGGCUGGAGUGCAGUGGCAUGAUCUUGGCUCACUGCAACCUCUGCCUCCCGGGAAGCCAUUCUCCAGCCUCAGCCUUCCAAGUACCUGGAAUUACAGGUGUCCACCACCAUGCCUGGCUAACUUUUUUAUUUUUAGUAGAGACGGAGUUUCACCAUGUUGGCCAGGCUGGUCUCAAACUCCUGACCUCAGGUAAUACAUCCGCCUCAGCCUCCCAAAGUGCUGGGAUUACGGGCAUGAUCCACUGCCCCCUGGCCUCUAUUUUUUUUUAUAGUAGUUUUCAUAGACUCUAAAAAGUACGUUUUUAAUAUAAUACAACUCUACCUUUAAUUAUUAUCCCACUGCUGAAGCAGAUAGCAUAUGCCCUAUUACUCCAUCCCAUUCCUUGCUCUAUUUUUUCAUCCAUUUCAUUUUCAUAUGGGAUAUAAACUUAAAUUUUAGAGCACUUACAAUGAUAAUAAAAUCUUUUUAUAAAUUAUUCUAUUUCUGAUGUUCUUAAUUUGUUUGUGGGUAGAACC